rnacentral:rRNA from 1 species
GAUGAACGCUGGCGGCGUGCCUAAUACAUGCAAGUCGAGCGAACAGACGAGGAGCUUGCUCCUCUGACGUUAGCGGCGGACGGGUGAGUAACACGUGGAUAACCUACCUAUAAGACUGGGAUAACUUCGGGAAACCGGAGCUAAUACCGUAUAACAUGUUGAACCGCAUGGUUCAACAGUGAAAGACGGUCUUGCUGUCACUUAUAGAUGGAUCCGCGCCGCAUUAGCUAGUUGGUAAGGUAACGGCUUACCAAGGCAACGAUGCGUAGCCGACCUGAGAGGGUGAUCGGCCACACUGGAACUGAGACACGGUCCAGACUCCUACGGGAGGCAGCAGUAGGGAAUCUUCCGCAAUGGGCGAAAGCCUGACGGAGCAACGCCGCGUGAGUGAAGAAGGUCUUCGGAUCGUAAAACUCUGUUAUUAGGGAAGAACAAAUGUGUAAGUAACUAUGCACGUCUUGACGGUACCUAAUCAGAAAGCCACGGCUAACUACGU